GUCCGCAGGUGGGUGGCAGUUUUGGGGGAGGAGCCUCUACUACUUUUCCAAAGGACAAAAGAGCUGGUAUGAUGCCGAGAACUUCUGCAUGUCCAGAGAUGCCCAUUUGGCCUCCAUCCUACAUGACAAAGAGCAGAAUUACAUCACUUCACAGCUGGCUCAGACAGCCUGGGUGGGCCUUUCAGUUGAAAACGAAGAGAGUGGAUGGGAGUGGACUGACAGGUCAACAUUAACAGCAGGUUUUUGGUCUAGCGAAAGUCCGAGCCACUCAAGCAGAUACAGAGGAAGAGAACAAGACUGUGUUUCUAUUGUGCCUUCAUUGGGGAACCACAACUGGAAAGCUGCUGACUGCCAUGAACUUUACAGAUGGGUUUGCAAAGAGAACCUGGAGCAUGGGGAACCCUGAUGUUGGUCUUCCUCUGAAAUAAUCACCUUAUUCUCCAGGAUCCUGCUAAAACUGAAGACAAAAAGAUUCUCAUUCUGAUGUCAUAGCAAACUCACAGAAUGAAUAUAAACAUCCUGUUACCUCCAAAAUCCAAAAUAAAUU